GAGGAAUAUUGGUCAAUGGACGGAAGUCUGAACCAGCCAAGUAGCGUGCAGGAUGACGGCCCUAUGGGUUGUAAACUGCUUUUGUAUGGGGAUAAAGUUAGGGACGUGUCCCUAUUUGCAGGUACCAUACGAAUAAGGACCGGCUAAUUCCGUGCCAGCAGCCGCGGUAAUACGGAAGGUCCAGGCGUUAUCCGGAUUUAUUGGGUUUAAAGGGAGCGUAGGCUGGAGAUUAAGUGUGUUGUGAAAUGUAGACGCUCAACGUCUGAAUUGUAGCGCGAACUGGUUCACUUGAGUAUGCACAACGUGGCGGAAUUCGUCGUGUAGCGGUGAAAUGCUUAGAUAUGACGAAGAACUCCGAUUGCGAAGGCAGCUUACGGGAGCACAACUGACGCUGAAGCUCGAAGGUGCGGGUAUCAAACAGGAUUAGAUACCCUGGUAGUCCGCACAGUAAACGAUGGAUGCCCGCUGUUGGUACCUGGUAUCAGCGGCUAAGCGAAAGCAUUAAGCAUCCCACCUGGGGAGUACGCCGGCAACGGUG
rnacentral:rRNA from 1 species